rnacentral:lncRNA from 1 species
AGCCUUUUCUCAAGAGCACUCACUCAGCAGACAGCAGGCACAAAGUCACAACUCACAAAUCUGCCAUCGGGUUCUCAUUUCUCAAUUUGAAUCUCAGAUUUUCAAUCGGGAAAAUCCACCAUUUUUGCUGUCCAUUUCUCUUCCAGCACACUAAUACCUAGAGGCCAGGUUUACUUUCUUCUAAUUUCCUUUUGUUUUUUUUCCAAUUUCUUCAAUGGCAGAUAUAUUUUUAAUUUUAGGGUUUUGUUUUGUUUAGUUCGUCUACCUUGCCGACAGCUCCCCUUAUCCCUCCGUAAAAAUUCAAGUAGUAAUUUCUUCAGUAUUUUUGUUAUUAACAUGCUGGAAAGUGGAAACUACGUAUAAAGUUCGAUUUUAUAAUUUAUACUGUUUUACCAUCAAAAGAGGCAAUGGUUUUUGAGUUUUUAGCAAAAAAAAUUAAUCAAUGGUGUAUCAUGGAGAGUGAUACAAUAAUUACUUAAGAAACUGAAGCCAUAACAUACUAAUUUUCUCAUAUGCAUGUAUGUAUGUACAUUUACUGUUGUCAUCGCCUUCAAUUUGAAAGAUACUGAAUUUGUUUUGAAAAUUGUUUCCAUUUCAAAUUUCAAAGAUAUUGGCAUUAUAUUAAGAUAUAAUUGUUUCAAUUACUUCAUCACUCUUGCUUUGCUUGCUGUUCAUGCUCCUAAUUUGCAUAUGCUAACUCGCAGCAAUCUGGAAAACAACCUUCAAGCAAUAGGUAAAAGAGUAUCUGCAGGCUGCAUUUAGGUAAAAGAGUAUCUACAAACUCUAUUUAGGUAAAACACUCAACUAAUAGACCUCAAUUCAAAUGCAUAUGAAUCCUCUCCAUAUGCUAUCCUAUGCUUUAAAUAUUAACUCUUUUUCACAUGUAAGUCUUUAGAGAUGAGGAAAUGCUUUCUCAAUUCUCACUAUUAUUUAAUUUGUCUAUUUUGUAAAGGGUCAGAGUUUUGCUCUGUUUUUGCUCAUUUAACACCAUGCAUCAAACUCUGAUGUACUAUAAUGGCUGAAUUAAAUAAAUUAGGAAAUGGAAAUCUCAUGAUUGUGAUAGGACCUGAGCAAAGAUACAUUAAAAAAACCAAGCAUAAACAGAUUGUCAAACUGGUUUCAAAGCAGUCGUGUAAAAUGAACAUGUGGGUUCUGUUAUGGGCGAAAAACCAAAUCUGAUGCCACCCCACCCAUCGAUUAAAUCGGUUAAGUCGGUUAAUUUGGUUAAAUUGGUUAAAUUGAGCAAAUCGGUUAAAUAGGUUAAAUCGGUUAAUUUUUAACCAAAAAUAAAAAUCAUAUGAUUUUUGGUUAAUUCGGUUAAUCGAUUGGUUUAACCAAAAAAAUUCAGUUCGAUUAACGGUUAAAAAAUUUUGAAGGUCGGUUAAUUCAGUUAUAACUAAUUCAGGUCGGUUAACCGGUCAGUUAACCGAAUGCACACCCCUACGCUAGUAUAUAAGCUUUAAAAAUAAUAGUGUUUGUUUUUUGACACAGAAAGAGCUUGUGAUCUAGUGGCAAGGUGGCUUGUGCUGUAACUGUGAGGUUUGAGGUUCAAGUCUUGGGUUGCGCAUUGGAGUAUUUAUUUUACUGCUUGAGCUAGGUAGGCGGUGGAGUUGGAUUAGAAUACUGCUUAAGGGAGUUUGAACUGGUCAUGGAGGAAAUUAAGGAGGGGAUAAGGGGAGAGAUUUUAGGAGAAAAUCAAAGAGUUUGAGAGUGAGGGGGAAGUGUGUCGUUUGGGGGUAAUUCAACUUGGAAAAAUCAGUUAAGGGAGGGGUUUUGUGCCGAAUUUUCUUUAGUCAGUAAGGUAAUCAGUUUGAGGGUCUUUCUUUACUCUGUUUGCUUCGGUUUUAUUUAGCUUUUCCUUCUCCCUUUUGGUUUUCUUUGUGCCGAUUUUCACAAUGGACCUUGGGAACCUCUCGGGUUUGUUCAUCUACCUUUUUCUACUUUUCCUUUAUUUCUUUUUUGAUUGGGGUGGUCGAAUAGUUUUUGCAUCCUCUCUACAAAUCAUUUUUCCUCUUUCUUCUUCUUUUUGUGUUGCAUCUUCGCUUCUUAUCUCUUCUUCUCCUCUCCAUUUUUGUGUUACAAGUAUUCUCGACUACUGGUAAGUGCUAUGCUCUUCAUUAUGUUCUCUUAUUUUUCUCUUUUUAAAAUAGGAUAGCCUCCGUAAUACUUUGAUUUCUGACUGCUGAUGUUUUUCUCUCGAUAUGCUACUUGUUGCUGUGUUAAGGUUUUCUUCGAGGUGUGGUGUAGUGUGAGCGUUGUAAAGUUGUCGAAAUCUCUCACAUUCCUUGAUCAAGGUAGGUAGGCUAGCUUCUUUUAUGUGAUGGCCGAAUAUUCUAUGGCUCUGCAUAUGAUCAUGUGUGGUUUCUAGCCAUAUGAAUGCGCAGUACUGUUUAAUGAGUUGUUGUAUUACAGAUAUUUGUCAGCAAGGUUGAAGUCGAUUGUCAUCGGUUGUAAAAGUGGGCUGAGCCAUUUUUGUUAGUCGAGGCAAGUAUUAGUGUAGUUUUGGGUCAAGGUUGUAAAAGAAGGGGAUUAGCCCUAUUGUUUGUUGACUAAUGGAAAAUGUGUUUGAAUACAGAUUUUGGGGUAUUCGCGAAUCUCAGUGCGUUUCACAAACAUGUGUGUAUCCACACCACCUUUACUGCGAAUAGGCAAAAGCUGAAAAGUCGAAACACGACAAUCGAGGCCACAUGAACGUGUGAUUGCUCGUGCAAAAAAUUGAGCCCAAGAUAUUGGGUGUUAGACUACAGAGGCCUCUAUGGGCGUUUCUAUAGGCUUGGGCCAGAAAAUUACCGAAAUACCCUCGAAGGGUAAAAUUACCAAAAUACCCUUAAAGAGUAAAAUUAUCGAAAUACACCCGAAGGGUUAAAUUAUCAAAAUACCCUCAAAAGGUAAAAUUAUUGAAAUACCUUGAAGGGUAAAAUUACCAAAAUGCCCCCCAAAGGGUAAAAUUAUCGAAAUACCUUUGAAGGGUAAAAUUAUCGAAAUACUUUCGAAAGGUAAAAAUAUUGAAAUACCCUCGAAGGGUAAAAUUAUUGAAAUACCCUCGAGGGGAAAAAUUAUCGAAAUACCCUCGAAGGGUAAAACUAUCGAAAUACCCUCUAAGGGUGAAAUUACUAAAAUACCCUAAAAGGGUAAAAUGACCGAAAUACCGCUAUAGGGUAAAAUGACUGUUAUGGCCUUAUGCUAUGUAUGAUUGAUUUGCUAUAUGAUAUAUAUAUAUGACUAUUACUGAAUAUGACAUACUGUAUACACGUAUGAUUUAUGACAUGACAUACUACACAGGGUUGGGAUUCUGAUAUAGGGGAAGUGUACUAUAUUGGUGGCUAUGCCACAUAUACUGAUACUGGCGGCUAUGCUGAAAUACUAAUACUGGAAGUUAUGCUGUGAUAUUGUUACUGACAGCUCUGCUGCAUUAUUAUUACUGGCAGCUUUACUGCGAUAUUGGUGUGUUGGUUGGGUGGGUUGAUUUUAUCCCCACAUGGUGUGUUGGUGGUAUAGAGUGGUGUGUUGACUGGAUUGGGAUAGGUUGCAUUACUGUAUUUGUACUGAUUACUAUUUUGGGCUAAGGCCCACACUGUUACUGAAUUGGGCUAAGGCCCACACUCUGUUACUGUAUUGGGCUAUGACCCACACACUGCUACUGUAUAAGGCUCAUGCCCAGACUGAUUCUACAUGUUGUAUGUUGAUUGUUUGGUAUAAGAUUACACACUAAGUUUUUGUAAA